rnacentral:rRNA from 1 species
UACAGAGGUCUCAACCGUUGUUCGGAUUCAUUGGGCGUAAAGGGCGCGUAGGCGGUCAGCACAAGUCAGUUGUGAAAUCUCCGGGCUUAACUCGGAAAGGUCAACUGAUACUGUGCGACUAGAGUGCAGAAGGGGCAACUGGAAUUCUCGGUGUAGCGGUGAAAUGCGUAGAUAUCGAGAGGAACACCUGCGGCGAAGGCGGGUUGCUGGGCUGACACUGACGCUGAUGCGGCGAAAGCCAGGGGAGCGAACGGG